GAUGAACGCUGGCGGCGUGCCUAAUACAUGCAAGUCGAGCGAACAGACGAGGAGCUUGCUCCUCUGACGUUAGCGGCGGACGGGUGAGUAACACGUGGAUAACCUACCUAUAAGACUGGGAUAACUUCGGGAAACCGGAGCUAAUACCGGAUAAUAUAUUGAACCGCAUGGUUCAAUAGUGAAAGACGGUUGCUGUCACUUAUAGAUGGAUCCGCGCCGCAUUAGCUAGUUGGUAAGGUAACGGCUUACCAAGGCAACGAUGCGUAGCCGACCUGAGAGGGUGAUCGGCCACACUGGAACUGAGACACGGUCCAGACUCCUACGGGAGGCAGCAGUAGGGAAUCUUCCGCAAUGGGCGAAAGCCUGACGGAGCAACGCCGCGUGAGUGAUGAAGGUCUUCGGAUCGUAAAACUCUGUUAUUAGGGAAGAACAAAUGUGUAAGUAACUAUGCACGUCUUGACGGUACCUAAUCAGAAAGCCACGGCUAACUACGUG
rnacentral:rRNA from 1 species